rnacentral:lncRNA from 13 species
AUGACAGACCAUAUGUCACCCACAUUACCUUGUAUGGACCGGACCCACAUUACCUUGUAUGGACCGGACCAACAUUACCUUUUAUGGACCGGACCCACAUUACCUUGUAUGGACUGGACCCACAUUACCUUGAAUGGACCGGACCCACAUUACCUUGUAUGGACCGGACCCACAUUACCUUGUAUGGACCGGAUGUGCACAUCACAAGAGAUCAAUAACUCACUGAGUGAAUCUGUCCCUCUCAAGACUGCCAUCACUCCAUCAGCAUGCAAUAACGCUGGACUCAAUUCCAGGUAAGUAGACGAUGCUCAGGAGAGAUGAGCAUUUCCCACCAUGUGAUAAAAACAGCACGCGACAAGUGCUGGGGAGAUUUAUCGUGGUGUCUGAUUAAAUGUAGCCAAUUUCACUUUAAUGCGAUAUAAAAGAAUGAUGCAUGCUUGAAUUCCGCAGGUUCCCGCAGUGUGGAGGGAUUCUCAUCAGCCUGUGGCAGUAUUUAAACCAUACAGCCUAGAGUAUGAUUCAAACCCUAGCGUGGAAUGUUAGAAGUGCCAGUGAUGUAAUGUUCAAUAUUGAUAACGACCGUGAGCAAGAUGGGUUCUAAUCGUUUAUGAAAAUAUUGCGCAGCCAGCAUGCAUUUUUCCCCUACUGUUCCCUUUCCCUCCUGCUUCUUCACUACAUCUAUCGGCUCUUUCUGAUAGGAAGAAAUCCACAAACACCUUCGCACCUCCUAUCAAAUGAGCUCCUGUAAAAACGCAACACUGUCAGAGAAGUGGCUCUGUGCACGCAAGGUGUAAGGUCCCUGGAGUGUUUUAUAAGCAUCACUGCCAACUGGAUUCAAAGUAUAUUUUAGGCCUCUACUAAGGCAUCUGUGGAUCUCAUGAACUGUGGAUUUCUUCUUGGCCACACAAACUAAACUCAAGGAUUAAAGAGUUGGCAUAUCAUAGUGUCGGGCAACAGGGCCUAUGAAAUCCUGGUCUGGAAAAGUACUGUUACUGAGUGCUAUUGAUGGGUUUGCUUUGAAAUGAUAAUGAUAGUAAUAAUCUCUGACACUAUUUUGUUAAAACUGUCCUCAAAGAAGUGGAUUGUAGUUUUAGACAUUAUAACAAC